UCCUCCCCGCCGGGGCCGCCAGCGCUCGCACAGGUGGCGGGCCCCAGCUCGGCACUGCCUGAGGCGCCAGCGCCCUCUCUCGGGCUCACGCAGCCGGGCCCCGCACUGAUUGCCGGCGGCGCGGCGGCUCCCCGCUCGACCCCGGCAGCUCCGUUAAGACAGCGGCGAGGCCGUGCUCCGGCGUAACGCUUACCCUCCCUGGCUGACGGCGUCAAGCUUGGGUGCAAAAGACGGGCUCUUUUCAGCAGGGGAAGGAUGAGGACCAGUGUAACACUCACGCUGGAAGGAUCCGGCCCAGCACUCCUGUGCAACACACCGUAUGCUGCUUACCCACUACUGUGGGCCUCACACCAUUUCCACUGGGUAUAAAUGGAGUCUUGUUAUGGAGACGUUUGGAGUUGAUCUUCAUGCAGUGAGUGGGCUGGCAGUUGGAUUCUCUCCUCUUAGAGUGGGAUGUCAGCUAAGGAGCCUUCACACCCCACCCCACUGCCCUACAAGUGGAAGAUUUUCAUUUUCUAUGCUGUAGAAAUUUAAAAUGCUGAGGAAAGAAACCAGCAUUCCUCCUGUGCGCCUUGACACCUUCAGCACUGUCAAUAAAGCUCUCCUGGUUGCAGAGUGCUCACUUCCAGCUUGGGCAAUUAGCAAGAAGCAGGACUCACCAUUACCUCACCGAGUUAACCUCGGGCAGCACCUCAGAAACGACCAUAACUACUUUUAUCUCGGUAAAUCUACUCAGACUGUCCCACCUUGCAGAAACGUGUUUGCCUUAGGACUUCCAAGGUCACUGCUUCAGAUUUUGAAAGAGGAUAUGGGAAGCAUGGCAAUGUUUUUGUCUACUAGACCCUGAGAAAGGAUGGGCUUGGACUUCCAAAAGUCCAGAUGCUGUUUCUGAGAUCUGGGAGAGGAAGAAAUUAAGUCAGAGACAGGCAGCAGCCCUCGUAGGAGUCUCUUACAAAGAGAAGUGGGACAGGACAGAGAGAGGAGGUACAACUGAAGCUGCUUCCCAUCCUAUUCACAGCAUGGCCCUUCUGCUUGCAUUUGGUCUGGGGUUUGGUGUUGCAGGAAAAAUUCCAGACACAUUACUCACUUAUGUUAGAGUCUGUUGACCUGAUACUGUAAGCUGGGAAAACAGACUUGAAACAAAGAGGCCAGACAUGAGUGAACAGAAUGGUAAUGACUUCACAGUAAAUUGUGUCAUUUUUAAGAGGUUAAUAAUAUGCUCAUAUUUUACUGAGUGUAUUAAAACUCUUAGUUAAAUAUUGUAUGUUACUGGAAGGGAAAUAAAAUUUUAUUUAA